rnacentral:SRP_RNA from 1 species
GGUCAAGCCCCGAGCGGCUGAAGCAGACCCAACUCCGUCAGGUCCGGAAGGAAGCAGCGGUCAGUCCUACUUCAGAGUGCUUCGGUAAGCUUGGCUUUU